CGCGUAGGUGGUUAGUUAAGUUGGAUGUGAAAUCCCCGGGCUCAACCUGGGAACUGCAUUCAAAACUGACUGACUAGAGUAUGGUAGAGGGUGGUGGAAUUUCCUGUGUAGCGGUGAAAUGCGUAGAUAUAGGAAGGAACACCAGUGGCGAAGGCGACCACCUGGACUGAUACUGACACUGAGGUGCGAAAGCGUGGGGAGCAAACAGGAUUAGAUACCCGUGGUAGUCCAG
rnacentral:rRNA from 1 species